UUUAUAAUUUUACUAUCAAAUCCACCUUCAAUAAACAUUUCAAAUUUAUAUUCAUUUAAAUAUUUUUAUUGUAACCCAUUUCUACUUAAAUAUUAGCUACACCUUGAUCUGAUAUAUUUUCUUUUUAAAAAUUAUGAAAAUUAACAUUCUUAUAAAAUAUUCUAAUAACGACGGUAUAUAAACUGAUUACAAACUUAAGUAAGGUCCAUCGUGGAUUAUCGAUUACAGAACAGGUUCCUCUGAAUAGACUAAAAUACCGCCAAAUUUUUUAAGUUUCAAGAACAUAACUACUACUACCUUAGUUUUUAAAUUUACAUUUUAAAUAAUAGGGUAUCUAAUCCUAGUUUAUUAUUAAAAUUUUCAAGCUUCAAUUAUUUUAUAUAAAAAAUUUAUAAAUUUAAAAUUUCACCUAAUAAAUUUAUUUUUAUUUUAUAAAUAAACAACUUAACUUUAACCAAAGAAAAUUUAUUUGCAUUAUUCGUAUAACCGCGGCUGCUGGCACAAAUUUAGCCAAUACUCUUUAAUAUUACUAUUUCUAAGUUUCCUUAAUUAAUAAUACUAAUUACUGCGAAUACAAUUAACUUAUUUAUUAUUUAAAUAAAUAAAA
rnacentral:rRNA from 1 species